AAGAAAGUGAAUCGGGAGGUCAUUUGUGGAGAAAUAGCCAAGGAGGUGCAUAAAAAAAUGGCUCUGUUUAUUAUAAUCCCAGCAUCGAUUACAGCAAUGCACAUCUCAAAUAACCAAAUGACCGACAAUAAGUACUUUGAUAAAUUCUAGUUCAUCUAUGCCAAGGAAUACUACAUAGCCACAUACCAAAAAACAGUUUAUAGAUGUAUAUUUAAUAGAAUGGAAAACUAUCUAUGGUAGACUGUUGGGUCAAAGAAGCUAGGAAGCAGUGACGAGAUUCUUGCAAAAGAAAGUACUCGUGUGCACGAGCCCACGUACGGCGUAUGUAACCGCAUAUGGGCACACGGAUCACAAUCAACAGGAAUAUCUGAGUGAUAAAAUGAUGUGAUUUUUAUUUUUACCGUUGAUAUUUACUACAUGUGUAAUAACAUAUUUGGUUUCUAAUUUGCCUUGUGAAAUAACCUCUCAUGGGCCAGUAACUGGAUAGCUAGGGUGUGAUAUCCCCAUCUCCUUGGACAGUCAGCUGGUUCUUCAGCCCUCAUUUUCCCAGUGUCAUUCCUGCUCUGGUUGCAGGGAAACCAAUGCUGAAGCUCCAGCAGCUCCAGCCAGCAAACCUCACCAAGCUACAUGGCCUCACCUCCACUGUCUGUUGCCUAGCUGAUUGUCUCAUUAAACUGGCUUUUUAGUUCCAAUUGCACUUCUCAGAAACUGUCUUCAUUUUUGUAUAAGGGAGAUGUAAUAGAUCUAAGAGAGAUGGGGAGGGGGGGUUGUUUUUAUUAGUUGAUCUUCCCCCAAUUCUACCUUUAACUAUAGGAAAUGAAAUGGGUACAGGGAAUAGAACGCCCCCAAGGCCAUAUGUGGUCCUGGCACUGAGUUACUUUUAACUGUUCUCUUUCUACUCUUCAGAGGUAUUGAUUUGGUAUUUCUUCCCCACCUGAUAAAGGUGAAGAAGUGAAAAUUCAAUAGAUGACAGCUUUGCCUUGCUACAGCUACUGUGCACCUAAGACUCUACUUAGAAACGACACACAGGAUAGGUUUUAAGACAGAACCGAUCCACGACUUUUCAGUUGGAAAAAUUGAGAUCAUGGUUGGAAUGCCUCCCAAGGAAGAACGCACAUAUGAAAAGAACCGGCAAUUUUUAUUACUGAUACUGUUUUUGUUUUUAAACCUGCUCUCCCAAAUUCAAAGUACAACAAUUAUUAUUGAUUUUUUUAAUGACAAAGAUAACAAAACCAGCAAUGAUAUCACCAUUCUCUGGGCCAGGCCUAUGGGCAGGGCUCUAAAACAGAUUAUCUCGUUUAUUGUCCCCACUUGAUUGAUAAGGAAACCGAGGCGUGGAGAGGUCACGAUGAGGCAUGUUGGCAACGUGAGACAUGGAUGCCAGCAGUCCCAAUCCCUGUAUUUCACCUUUCCUCAAUCAAAUCAUCACCCUCCCUCUGGGAGCCCCGAUAGCCCUUAGAGACCCUGGAGAUUUUCCCAAGCUGGACUCCAUGGCUUCCCCUCAGAGGCCAUUUGGACAGAGGGGGCCACGUUUAAUGGAUCUGGGGGACCCCAUCCUCCUCUCUUAGAUGUUGGACUUUCCCAGAGGAUUCCAGCAUCACAGAAUAUUUGGCAAGUGUCAGUCGAUGUAUAAGAUUCCCAUGUCAUGUCUGAUGAAACUGUAAUCAAAUAUUAAAAAGUGUGACUGGGGUUUAGAGGGAGCCCAGUUUAAUCUGGACCUGUUUGCGAGGCACAUGUUUUUUGUGUGUUUUUUUUUUUUGUGGUACAUGGGCCUCUCACUGCCGUGGCCUUUCCCGCCGCGGAGCACAGGCUCCGGACGCGCAGGCCCAGCAGCCAUGGCUCACGGGCCCAACCGCUCCGCGGCAUGUGGGAUCUUCCCGGACCGGGGCACGAACCCACGUCCCCUGCAUCGGCAGGCGGACUCUCAACCACUGCGCCACCAGGGAAGCCAGCGAGGCACAUUUGAGUCGCCUCUCUCUGUUUCCCCUUUGGCAUUAAAGUGCAAGUAAUGAUUUUUUUACUUGACAUCAGUGCUCUGAGCAAGAACCAGUAAAAGGGAAUGCAAAACACAAGAACACAGGAAUGCCUUACAGAAGUGCUGUGCGGUGCUCAAUCCCAGCACCCUCAGUGCCCCCUGGGGCCUGUGCCUGAAGCCGGUCACACAGGAGGUUGGUAUAGACAGGCCAGGGCCUGCAGAGACACAACCAGGAACCCGAAGAACCCACAGGAGCCGGCAUGUAACUUGGAAUCAUAAGGGAAGCAGACGAAAAGCUUCGUCAACAAAAACAGCCGAGCCCUGGCACGAGGACCAGAAGCAGGCCUGCAGCUUGUCUCAGCAAACAGGCAUCGAUCCAGGGGAGGAUGGGAGGCCUAGGGCUUUUUAAUUAUUAAUGUCUUGUGUUCCCAUGUGGACUCCGCCAUUGGCCCUUAGGCCACCUGGCAUGGUCCUGAGGGAGUUUCCCGCCUCCUCUUUGGGGAAAGUGAAACUUAUAUUGGGGAAUAAAAAAGAAUUGACUCCUGGUCCCUCCUUGAGAAUGCUUCCUUCUUCCACAUUGCUUUUCACGGAGGACACAGUGGAUGCCUCUGAAGCCAAUUUCAGGACGUUUAUGGGACGUAUUUUUCAGAAGUACACACAAGCCAAGCACUGUUAUAAAGGAACCUCCUAAGCUUUAAGCCGAGAUCUGUUCUGUCUUGUUUAAAAGGACCAUAAUAAGUGAUUAAUUCCCCUUAGGAUGUGCAGGAGAGGAAAAGGCAGACAUGAUUAUACACACAAUGCACAUAAACUAGGAAAUAAGCCACUGAUAAUGGGUAAAUACACUUGCAUGCCAGCGAUAGAGGGGUAAAAUGUUCUGCAUUCAGUGGCCUAAAGAUCUCGCAGUUAGUUCAGGGUUUAAACAGAUAAAUUAUACUUGACGUUUUUCCAGAGUCACCCUUUUCUCUCAUUCGAUUUCUUGUGAGAUAAUGUUAUAGGAAAAAUACACAACUGCACCUUAUAAUUUUCAACAAUCAGCUACUACGAGUUAAACUCCAUCACCUCUAUUUAGAAGGGAACGCUUCUCCCUUCAGUGCUGGCACAGUCAAUUGUCUUAGGAAAGCACAAAUCAUUACUAAGUUCUGAAACUUUCUGGAAGGUGAUGACACGUUUACCACAAACCUCCACAUGAUGUUUUCAGGAUCCUCCAUGAAGCAGUGUUAAGGUUCCCAGGUAGGUGUGUCCUGAUCAUUAACUUCAAUUGCAUGUUGCCUUCUAUGUGAGAAGUACUGCCCAAAGAUCAUGAUCAACAGAAAAGGAGUGAGCGUCCCCAUUCUUAAGGAGCACAAAGUCCACUGGGAGAGACAAGAUGAACCAGCAAGAACACAACCCCUACUGGAACCAUAAAAGCAAGCACUAGACCCUUGGAAUACAGAGAAGAAUGGGCCAGGGCUCUGCCCUCACGGGGGAUACCUACUGCCUAUGGAAAAAAGACAUGCAGCAAAAACCCGUGGAAUGAUGACUGUAAGAGACAUGUGCAAAUGGCAACCCGCAAGCCAUUCUUCUGCCUACUCCUGAUUUCUUUCAAUUAUGCUCUUUAUAUAGACCACUUCCUCUGCUGACAGUGCACUUAGUAGAUGACUAGGGUCUACAUCAGAGAUCUCGCAAUUACAGCCCAGGGCCUGUCUUGGAACAGCCUGCAAGCUAAGAAUGAUUUUCACGUUUUUUAAAUGCUUGGGGGAAACAAAAAUCAAAAGAAGGAGAAUAUACAAAAUUCAGAUUUCAGUGUUCAGAAAUAGUUUUAUUGGAACACAGCCAUGCUCCUUCGUUUAAGUAUUAUCGGUGGCUAUUUUCAUGCAGCAAGGGCAGAAUUGAAACAGUUAUGACAGAAAACAUUUGGCCCACAAGACCAAACAUAUUUACUACGUGGCUUAUUAAAGAAAAAAGUUUGCUGACCCUGAUUUGGAUGGUUUGGACCUUAUCUAAGAUAAGAGUAAAUCAAUGUCAGAAAUUAUUAGUUUAAUUAUUAGAACUCAUAAAAGUGGGACUCGUAGUGGCUUCCGAUGGAGUGUAUUUGGUAACCAUCCUAGAACAAAUAUCCCCCAUAAGUCAAUCUUAAAUAAUGCUUUGAAAAAAAAAUACCCAUCACCACAUUUUGUCUUGGUGAAGUAGCACGAGCAUUAGUUGUAUAGAUUAUAAAAUAUGAGAUACUAAAAUGUUAUUUGAAUACAAAAUUAGUGUCAUAUUACCUUUACAAUAUAGUUGGUUCACACCUGCAGCACCUAAUCAGCAAACAUUUACAGAAUAAGUACUUCAUUCCAGAUACUCCGCUAAAGAGUAAGGACAGAAGAUGAGGUUGACACAGUUCCUUAAAGGAAUUUAUAGUUUAUCAGGAAAACAAAGCCAAUGCAAAAAAAAUGUGGGUGAGAAGAUGCUGUACAAUAAAGCCUCAGGAUCCUUUUCUCUCAUUUCAAUUCUGCAUUGGCUGAGAUCUUCCUUGGUGGUCCAGCGGUAAAGAGUCCGCCUUACGACGCAGGGGACGCGGGUUCGAUCCCUGGUCAGGGAACUAAGGUCCCACCUGCUGCGGGUAACUAAGCCUGCACGCCACAACUACUAAGUUUGUGCGCCUCAACUAGAGCCCACGUGCCGCAAACGAUGGAGCCCACAUGCUCUAGGAACCCGCGGGCCACAACUACAGAGCCCAUGUGCCUGGAGCCUGCACGCCACAACGAAAGACCCCACGUGCUCCAACUAAGACCCAACGCAGCCAAAAAUAAAGAAAAUAAAUCAAUCUUUAAAAAAAAUUCUGCAUUGGCUGAAAUGAGGUAAGCCACCAAAGACAGGUCUGUCUGCACCAAAGAGGUUUAUCAAUUUUACAGUAAUAUAAAGGUUAUCCCUCAGCUGACAUAUCACAAGCCAUAUUUAGUAAAUGACUGAAUAACACAGUUAGAAAACCAAGGAUGUAAUCGCUUUUAAUUCUGGCAAGGAUGUGUGUAUUUUAAUUAAUUUGCCUUUCUUCCUGUCACUCACUUUUCCCACUGUGUCCCAAGUAACAAUUCCUUCUUGUUUCCCAGGACAUCCAAGGAUUUGUAGACUAUGAUCUUAUACUGAGUUGUAACCCAGCUGGCCCUACAGCCGUCACUUAGCCCAGCUCUACAAAUAUAUGUACUGCUGCUUUACUCCACCAUCAUCAAACCAUCCAACUAGCAAAACUGGGCCCGGGUCCCCAGAUUAUGGGGAGAAAUGGUCAUUCUGCUCCCAUGAUUCUGUGAAAGGUGUUUUCCAGUGCUGUGAACCCCCAAAAAACUUACAACCUAAUCACUGCCCUGGGUUCCCAGCUGCCUGCUCUCUCUAGCUCCUCCUGGCUGAAAUCCAUCCGGUGGCCCAUACAUCUGGUGACAAUGGAUCCUGAAAGCCCCGAAUGCUCACGGCUCAAUGUGACAAAUGACCAGCCCCAAACGAUGCAGAUGAAGGAUGUCUUUGCUUCCAGUUCAGACUGUAGCUCGUUAUGCAGCCACGUAGUGGGUCAUUCCCUGCACUGGUUUAUCACCAUUUUUUAAUUCAAUAUGUAUCACAACACUGAUGGACUGUAAUGCUUUCAUUAUUGUAAUAAUAACAGCUACCACUCAU